rfam:Xenopus laevis strain J chromosome 5L, whole genome shotgun sequence.
ACAGGAGGAUGACCUAUGAAAUGACAGCCACUUCCACACCAAAUAUGUCUGUCAUUUCUGUAGGCCAAUAUUCUGA